GAUGAACGCUGGCGGCGUGCCUAAUACAUGCCAGUCGAGCGAACGGAUGAGAAGCUUGCUUCUCUGAUGUUAGCGGCGGACGGGUGAGUAACACGUGGAUAACCUACCUAUAAGACUGGGAUAACUUCGGGAAACCGGAGCUAAUACCGGAUAAUAUUUUGAACCGCAUGGUUCAAAAGUGAAAGACGGUCUUGCUGUCACUUAUAGAUGGAUCCGCGCUGCAUUAGCUAGUUGGUAAGGUAACGGCUUACCAAGGCAACGAUGCAUAGCCGACCUGAGAGGGUGAUCGGCCACACUGGAACUGAGACACGGUCCAGACUCCUACGGGAGGCAGCAGUAGGGAAUCUUCCGCAAUGGGCGAAAGCCUGACGGAGCAAUGCCGCGUGAGUGAUGAAGGUCUUCGGAUCGUAAAACUCUGUUAUUAGGGAAGAACAUAUGUGUAAGUAACUGUGCACAUCUGGACGGUACCUAAGCAGAAAGCCACGGCUAACUACGG
rnacentral:rRNA from 1 species